UACGUAGGGGGCAAGCGUUUGUCCGGAAUUAUUGGGCGUAAAGAGCGUGUAGGCGGUCCGGUAAGUCCGCUGUGAAAGUCCAGGGCUCAACCCUGGAAUGCCGGUGGAUACUGCCGGGCUAGAGUCCGGAAGAGGCGAGUGGAAUUCCUGGUGUAGCGGUGAAAUGCGCAGAUAUCAGGAGGAACACCGAUGGCGAAGGCAGCUCGCUGGGACGGUACUGACGCUGAGACGCGAAAGCGUGGGGAGCAAACAGG
rnacentral:rRNA from 1 species